rnacentral:rRNA from 1 species
UACGUAGGGUCCGAGCGUUGUCCGGAAUUAUUGGGCGUAAAGAGCUCGUAGGCGGUUUGUCGCGUCUGUCGUGAAAGCCCACGGCUUAACCGUGGGUCUGCGGUGGAUACGGGCAGACUAGAGGCAGGUAGGGGAGAAUGGAAUUCCCGGUGUAGCGGUGAAAUGCGCAGAUAUCGGGAGGAACACCGGUGGCGAAGGCGGCUACCUGGACCGGUUCUGACGCUGAGGCGCGAAAGCGUGGGUAGCAAACAGG